UCGGACGUGGUGUACUGAACACGGCGAGUUGAACUUAGGGUGCGUGUGAAUGCAAUUGCUCGCAGUUCGGGGUUCAACUCCCCGCGUCCGAA